rnacentral:rRNA from 1 species
GACGAACGCUGGCGGCGUGCUUAACACAUGCAAGUCGAACGGAAAGGCCCUGCUUUUGUGGGGUGCUCGAGUGGCGAACGGGUGAGUAACACGUGAGUAACCUGCCCUUGACUUUGGGAUAACUUCAGGAAACUGGGGCUAAUACCGGAUAGGAGCUCCUGCUGCAUGGUGGGGGUUGGAAAGUUUCGGCGGUUGGGGAUGGACUCGCGGCUUAUCAGCUUGUUGGUGGGGUAGUGGCUUACCAAGGCUUUGACGGGUAGCCGGCCUGAGAGGGUGACCGGCCACAUUGGGACUGAGAUACAGCCCAGACUCCUACGGGAGGCAGCAGUUAGGAAUAUUGCACAAUGGGCGGAAGCCUGAUGCAGCAACGCCGCGUGCGGGAUGACGGCCUUCGGGUUGUAAACCGCUUUCGCCUGUGACGAAGCGUGAGUGAAGGUAAUGGGUAAAGAAGCACCGGCUAACUACGU